rnacentral:ncRNA from 2 species
UCGUUAUCAAGAAAGGUUGAGGGAUUGGACCCAAUGAAGCCUUGGCAACCCUCCUGUAAUGGGAGAAGGUGCUACCUUCUACUUCGUUUUGGCGAAGAUAGAUAACAG